CUCUGGGUUCCAGGGUGCUCACUGGGUGGUUCCCCCAGUGCCCCGCUCCUACAGUGACUGCAGCCAGCAGCACCCAGGAGACGGAACCUCCCCGCCCAGCCCGGCGCCCGCCAGCCCUGGUGCCGUUUUUAUAGCAGCAUGCCUCUAGCAAUCAAGACACCUGGCACCUCGGAGGGCCGACUUCCAGAAGGAUUUGCCACAGGGCACCACAACAACUUCUCUGCCAUUCAGAGUCACAGCUGCACAGGUCUGGAUCUCCGCCUGGGGCCGGCGUGGGGGCUCUCUCAGUCCUGGGGCUGGUUCACUGGAGUUUUCUUUCUUUGUUACUAGCCAGCCCCUCAUGGCUGUAAUCCCUUGCUCUAGUAAAUAAUUCUUUAUAUUGAAUUUUCUCUGUUCAAAUUACUACGUGAUUUCUCUCUCCGGACUGGACUCAGACUGAUACAAGUAUGGACCCCCUAGAAGGAACAACAAAUGGAGCUGCCGUCUAUAUACACACGUCGAUUUAGGUCUCUGUCUCUGGCAACUGAAAAGAGACCCAACAAAACAUCUUACAGAGCACCAGGGCCAAUUCUUGAUGCGUCGUUAGAUUCUGUGUAGCCAGAAAGCAGAAACAGAAACAUAUCCAAGCCAGGCGGAGGAAAAACUUUGAGGCCUGUUUAUCCAGGUUCAAGACAAUUUCUAUUUAAAAAAAAAAAAAAGAAAAAAAGAGAGAAAAAAAAAGCUCAUAACAGAAUAAGUUCAGCUUCUCCUGAGUGUCAGAGCUAAGAUCUAACGCCUCUGCUGGUUUCCAUGACAACCACCAGCAGCUACAAUCAUGCCGAACCAAGAACCAGAGGAUUCAGUAACUUUACCUUGAUUCUGUGGCCAGAUUAUUGCCAAUUUUAAAAGGAAAUGCAUAGUGAGCCCCUGUCUCUGUUGUGUCUUCAGUUGUCCCUUGAAAUCUGGAUAUCUUGACAAGAGGCCAGGGCCUAUCCUAUCUCAUCUCCCCAAGCUAGUGUCCUUCCCAGAUGAAUUUCUUCUGGCGCUGGCUCUGUGGCAGGCUCAUGUCGUUUUUUCCCCAAAGAAGAGAUUCCAGAGACGAGGCCUUCACUGAGAGCUUGCUCCUCUACCUCCUGUGGGUUUCAGGGCUGGGACGGGGGACACAGAGAAUCUGUCUCUCGCGAAUGCCAAGUUGAGGUCCUAGCCUGGCUAGGAACUCUUGCAUUCCCCUUGCCUCGCUGUAGCCUCCCCUGGGAACAGACCUUCCAGGAGGGUCGCACCGAGUGAUGAGACUGUUGCAUGAGGCUCUGCAGUGCUUGGACACAGAACUGCACUGCGGCCUUCCAGAUGCUCAGCUGGAAAACCCCUGAGAACCUGAGGCUUUUCUACAGCACAUUAGAGCUUAUGACUGGAGAGUGUCUACCGCCUGAGGGCAGGGAUGAGAUUUUACCUAUCCUAUUCACCUGCUUAGGUGCCCA
rnacentral:lncRNA from 1 species